CUUAAUGGGCGGGUCAUGCGGGAAGCCUUCGGGCUUGCCGGGUUCCGUACACCGGUCGACCAACCUGCAUGGUCUGCCCACCCUC
rnacentral:antisense_RNA from 1 species